rnacentral:rRNA from 1 species
GGCGUAAAGGGCGCGUAGGCGGAGGCGUAAGUCAGAUGUGAAAUCCCGGGGCUCAACCUCGGAACAGCAUUUGAAACUGCGCCCCUUGAGGGUAGGCGGAGAAAACGGAAUUCCACAAGUAGCGGUGAAAUGCGUAGAUAUGUGGAAGAACACCGGUGGCGAAAGCGGUUUUCUAGCUUAUUCCUGACGCUGAGGCGCGAAAGCAAGGGGAUCAAACAGGAUUAGAUACCCUGGUAGUCCUUGCUGUAAACGAUGUAUACUUGGUGUAACUGGAAUCAACCCUAGUUGUGCCGGAGCUAACGCGUUAAGUAUACCGCCUGGGGAGUACAGUCGCGAGGCUGAAACUCAAAAGAAUUGACGGGGACCCGCACAAGCAGUGGAGCAUGUGGUUUAAUUCGAUGCUACGCGAAAAACCUUACCCAGGCUUGACAUGCAGUAGACCGGUCCAGAAAUGGGCCUUUCCUUCGGGACUGCUGCACAGGUGCUGCAUGGCUGUCGUCAGCUCGUGCCGUGAGGUGUUGGGUUAAGUCCCGCAACGAGCGCAACCCUUAUCGUUAGUUGCCAACAUUUUAGGUGGGAACUCUAACGAGACUGCCCGGGUUAACCGGGAGGAAGGUGAGGAUGACGUCAAGUCCGCAUGGCCCUUAUGUCUGGGGCUACACACGUGCUACAAUGGUCGGUACAAAAGGCAGCGAAACCGCAAGGUGAAGCAAAUCCCGAAAACCGGCCUCAGUUCAGAUUGUAGUCUGCAACUCGACUACAUGAAGAUGGAAUUGCUAGUAAUGGCGAG